ensembl:lncRNA
GGGGGGGGUCCGGCCCCAUCCCCAGGCAGCGGGGUCGCCGUGGGGCCCAGGCUCUGCUGGGCACGGGGGGGGGCUGCGUGUGGGUCCCCCCCAUCGUGCCGGGUGCAGUGCUGCACGCGCCGUGGUGCUGGGUGCCUGCACCUGGGCCCGGCACCGGUGGCCUCUCGCCGUCCGCCACGGGUCCCAGCUCACCGAGCCCCCUGUUCCCCCAGGGUGAAGGGCUCACCAUGGCUGCAGCGUGGCUCGUCACCUGGGGGCUGCUCCUGGCCACCGGGGUCCCCGCCGGGGCCCAGGGGACGCUGUCGGUGGAGCUGCCGUCGGACAGGACCCCCCCACGGGGCAGGGUCCCCCUGCAUGCCCUGUCCUGGGCACACCAGCAGCCGGUACCGUCCCCUGCCUGGGACGCCUCGGGAGAGCUGAGCGGUGCCGGGACCCCCGACAGCGAGCACUGGGGGGGCAGCAGCCCCGUGCGCUGGUCCCCGCUGCCGGGGGCUGUCACCGGGGCACCUCGGGGGACAGGGAUGAGCCUGGCAAGCAGCGCAGCCCCGGCCGUGGUGGAGGAGCCCUUCAUCGCCUGGCGAGGAGGGGAGGCCGAAGGCCAGGACAGCCCCUGGGGGGGGACACGGCUGCCCCAUGGCUCUGCACCGGGGACGCCGGCCCCCAAGGUGCCCAUGGACACGGGGCCAGGCUCCCCGGGGCCACCCUGGGCCGGGCAGGGAACGUCCCCAUCCGGGCACAGUGCCACCAUGGCAGCCAGGACCCCUGGCCCCCGGCCGACCGUGUCCACCAUCGCCCUGACCCCCGAGCCGUCAGGGGGGACCAGGACGGGGACAGCGGAGGCGCACACACGGGGACAGCCAGCGGCCCCGGGCCCCGCUGGGGAAGUGCAGGAGCUGCGGGGCCCCCCCAGCACUGCCCCUGUCCCCCAGCCCGUGGGCACGGGGCCAGCACAGGGUCCCCACACCAGCCCUGGCUCCGUGCAGCUGACGGGCAGGCGAGGGGAUGCAGGGAGCCCCCCCAGCCCCUCCCCGGCUCUGCCCAGCUCUGUCCCACUGCUGCUGGCGGAGCCGGGGGGCCAGGGGGCCCCGUCCUGGGGGCUGGUGCCCGACGUGGUCCAGGAGGGCAGGGCUGAGACGUGGACCUGGGCGCUGCCUGCCCACCAGAGGAGCACACGCAGGGCCCCGCUCAGCAACGCCACCACCGGGGACACGGCGUCCGCCAGGCCAACGGGGCUGCAGGGACCCCAGCCCACCCCGGGGGCUGCCCUCGGCACCAGCCCCACACCGCUGCCCGUCUCCAGCACGACCCCCCCGGGCACUCCCUAUGCAGGGCUGCUCCCCGAGCAGGACGUGGGCUCCCCGCAGCGGGUCCGGGGCGCCGUGGGUCCCGGGAGCAUCCCAAAUGCCACCGUGCCUGCCCCACAGCCGACAACCCAUCCCGUGGCAGGGACACCCCCCGGGACCAGGCGCUCAGACACCUUGGGGACGCAGCCCCCCGCCGCCAGCACCACCGCGUCCCCCUCGGCCACGUGGCGGCGGGGAGUGGUCUGGGUGACGACGCAGCGCGCCCCGUGGCGUCCCCCGGCACCGGAGCCGGAGCCAGAACCGGAGCCCAGCCACCCGUCACCGGGCGCCAGCGCCUGCCCGGGGUCCUCGUGCGCCGACGGGGGCUCCAACACGACGGCGCUGAGCUGGGCCGAGCUGCGCCGCCCGCUGCGCCUGGCCUGGGCCGCCCACGCCUACGCGGUGGCCGCGCUCUGCCUGCUGCUGGGGCUGGGCUGCCUGGCGGGGCUGGGGGCGGCCGCGGCGCUGCGCCCACCCCACCUGCCCCUGCUGCUGGGCGCCCAGGGGCUGCUGCUGGCCGCCAGCCUCCUGCGGGCCGCCCUGCUGCUGGCGGACCCCUACGGGGCGCGAGGCCGCCUGCCGCCCCGCGCCCUGCUGCUGCUCUGCACGGCCCCCUUCCCGCUGCUGCUGGCGGCCUUCGCCCUGCUGCUGCGCCGCCUGCAGCGCCUGGCACAGCUCCGGCUGCUGCCCAGCCCCCUGGGGGGGCUGCCAGCGCUGGGGGCCGCGGCCGCCCUGCAGAGCGGGGCGCCGGCUGCCGCCGACCUGCUGUGGCCGCGCUUGGGCCUGGCCGCCGGGCUGGCGCUGCACGGGCUGGGC